rnacentral:rRNA from 1 species
GACAGAGGGUGCAAACGUUGCUCGGAAUUACUGGGCGUAAAGCGUGUGUAGGCGGCCAUGUAAGUCAGGUGUGAAAGCCCCGGGCUCAACCCGGGAAGUGCACUUGAUACUGCGUGGCUUGAGUAUCGGAGAGGUUGGUGGAAUUCUCGGUGUAGAGGUGAAAUUCGUAGAUAUCGAGAGGAACACCGGUGGCGAAGGCGGCCAACUGGACGAAUACUGACGCUGAGACACGAAAGCGUGGGGAGCAAACAGG